GGCAUCCUACGGGACGCAGCAGUGGGGGAUAUUGCACAAUGGGGGAAACCCUGAUGCAGCGACGCCGCGUGGGUGAAGAAGCGCCUCGGCGCGUAAAGCCCUGUCAGCAGGGAAGAAAAUGACGGUACCUGACUAAGAAGCCCCGGCUAACUACGUGCCAGCAGCCGCGGUAAUACGUAGGGGGCAAGCGUUAUCCGGAUUUACUGGGUGUAAAGGGAGCGUAGACGGCAGAGCAAGUCUGAAGUGAAAGCCCGCGGCCCAACUGCGGGACUGCUUUGGAAACUGCCCGGCUAGCGUGCUGGAGG
rnacentral:rRNA from 1 species